rnacentral:rRNA from 1 species
UACGUAGGGUGCGAGCGUUAAUCGGAAUUACUGGGCGUAAAGCGUGCGCAGGCGGUUCGCCAAGUCAGGUGUGAAAUCCCCGGGCUUAACCUGGGAAUUGCGCUUGAAACUAGCGGGCUUGAGUGUGGCAGAGGGGGGUGGAAUUCCACGUGUAGCAGUGAAAUGCGUAGAUAUCGUGAGGAACACCAGAGGCGAAGGCGGUUACCUGGACAGUUACUGACGCUCAGGCACGAAAGCAUGGGGAGCAAAAGGG